AGAGUUUGAUCCUGGCUCAGGAUGAACGCUGGCGGCGUGCCUAAUACAUGCAAGUCGAACGAGUUCUCGUUGAUGAUCGGUGCUUGCACCGAGAUUCAACAUGGAACGAGUGGCGGACGGGUGAGUAACACGUGGGUAACCUGCCCUUAAGUGGGGGAUAACAUUUGGAAACAGAUGCUAAUACCGCAUAGAUCCAAGAACCGCAUGGUUCUUGGCUGAAAGAUGGCGUAAGCUAUCGCUUUUGGAUGGACCCGCGGCGUAUUAGCUAGUUGGUGAGGUAAUGGCUCACCAAGGCGAUGAUACGUAGCCGAACUGAGAGGUUGAUCGGCCACAUUGGGACUGAGACACGGCCCAAACUCCUACGGGAGGCAGCAGUAGGGAAUCUUCCACAAUGGACGCAAGUCUGAUGGAGCAACGCCGCGUGAGUGAAGAAGGCUUUCGGGUCGUAAAACUCUGUUGUUGGAGAAGAAUGGUCGGCAGAGUAACUGUUGUCGGCGUGACGGUAUCCAACCAGAAAGCCACGGCUAACUACGUGCCAGCAGCCGCGGUAAUACGUAGGUGGCAAGCGUUAUCCGGAUUUAUUGGGCGUAAAGCGAGCGCAGGCGGUUUUUUAAGUCUGAUGUGAAAGCCCUCGGCUUAACCGAGGAAGCGCAUCGGAAACUGGGAAACUUGAGUGCAGAAGAGGACAGUGGAACUCCAUGUGUAGCGGUGAAAAAUGCGUAGAUAUAUGGAAGAACACCAGUGGCGAAGGCGGCUGUCUGGUCUGUAACUGACGCUGAGGCUCGAAAGCAUGGGUAGCGAACAGGAUUAGAUACCCUGGUAGUCCAUGCCGUAAACGAUGAAUGCUAGGUGUUGGAGGGUUUCCGCCCUUCAGUGCCGCAGCUAACGCAUUAAGCAUUCCGCCUGGGGAGUACGACCGCAAGGUUGAAACUCAAAGGAAUUGACGGGGGCCCGCACAAGCGGUGGAGCAUGUGGUUUAAUUCGAAGCAACGCGAAGAACCUUACCAGGUCUUGACAUCUUUUGAUCACCUGAGAGAUCAGGUUUCCCCUUCGGGGGCAAAAUGACAGGUGGUGCAUGGUUGUCGUCAGCUCGUGUCGUGAGAUGUUGGGUUAAGUCCCGCAACGAGCGCAACCCUUAUGACUAGUUGCCAGCAUUUAGUUGGGCACUCUAGUAAGACUGCCGGUGACAAACCGGAGGAAGGUGGGGAUGACGUCAAAUCAUCAUGCCCCUUAUGACCUGGGCUACACACGUGCUACAAUGGAUGGUACAACGAGUUGCGAGACCGCGAGGUCAAGCUAAUCUCUUAAAGCCAUUCUCAGUUCGGACUGUAGGCUGCAACUCGCCUACACGAAGUCGGAAUCGCUAGUAAUCGCGGAUCAGCACGCCGCGGUGAAUACGUUCCCGGGCCUUGUACACACCGCCCGUCACACCAUGAGAGUUUGUAACACCCGAAGCCGGUGGCGUAACCCUUUUAGGGAGCGAGCCGUCUAAGGUGGGACAAAUGAUUAGGGUGAAGUCGUAACAAGGUAGCC
rnacentral:rRNA from 2 species